rnacentral:rRNA from 1 species
GACGAACCGUACGAACGUUAUUCGGAAUCGCUGGGCUUAAAGGGUGCGUAGGCGGCGCAGAAAGUUGGGUGUGAAAGCCCCCGGCUCAACCGGGGAAAGGGUGCCGAGACGUCCCGCCUGGAGGGGCGUAGGGGGAUCCGGAACUUCCGGUGGAGCGGUGAAAUGCGUAGAUAUCUGGAGGAACACCGGUGGCGAAGGCGGCAUCCUGGACCAACACUGACGCUGAGGAGCGAAAGCCAGGGGAGCAAACGGG